rnacentral:rRNA from 1 species
UACGCAGGGGGCUAGCGUUGCUCGGAAUUACUGGGCGUAAAGCGCACGUAGGCGGCUUCUUAAGUCGGUGGUGAAAUCCUGGAGCUCAACUCCAGAACUGCCUUCGAUACUGGGAAGCUCGAGUCCGGGAGAGGGAUGCGGAAUUCCAGGUGUAGCGGUGAAAUGCGUAGAUAUCUGGAGGAACACCGGUGGCGAAGGCGGCAUCCUGGACCGGCAUUGACGCUGAGGCGCGAAAGCUAGGGGAGCAAACGGG